rnacentral:rRNA from 1 species
AUUGAACGCUGGCGGUAUGCUUAACACAUGCAAGUCGAACGGUAGCAGGCCUUCGGGCGCUGACGAGUGGCGGACGGGUGAGUAACGCGUAGGAAUCUGCCUGGUAGUGGGGGACAACUUAGGGAAACUUAAGCUAAUACCGCAUACGCUCCUUGUUGCAAGAUGGGGAGGAAAGCGGGGGAUCUUCGGACCUCGCGCUAUCAGAUGAGCCUGCGUUAGAUUAGCUAGUUGGUAGGGUAAAGGCCUACCAAGGCGACGAUCCCUAGCUGGUCUGAGAGGACGAUCAGCCACACUGGGACUGAGACACGGCCCAGACACCUACGGGUGGCUG